rnacentral:lncRNA from 1 species
GGCUAAUAGCUGGGGAUCUCAAGCUGUACAACAAUGGAUCAAAAAUAGAAGGCUCAUCGUGGUUGAUAUAUUUAGAGGCUGAUGUUUUUCUUUUAUAAUUUUAGGAGAGAGAUGUUCCCGGGCACAUUGUGACUCCUCUCUGUGAACUGACACGGGGUGUUUUUAUAGAGGACUCACGGGUGGGGUGACUCUGAAGUCAUUGCCAAAGGAAGAUGACAAUGAUUAUCCUGAAGGUGAGACGAGAAAGAGCUGCUCCACGGUCAAGGUUGUGAACAACAAAGGAACGGUUAUCCUUUUAGGGUCUUCCUCCUCCCGGCUUUUGAGGACAAAGAUGAAUUAUUUUUAAAAAGAAGCCAGUAUGGAGACACCUGAACAGUGAGAGUGGUUCCACCAGACUCCUCCUUAGGCAGUACGCUCAGCAUCGCAGCAUCAGGCCACGGUGGCUUUGAACUAUGUCUCACAAGAAGAGUUCUGAGACAUCGACUCGCCUCCUCUCCCCUCCGCAAGUUCACAGCUCAGGAAACAGAGGCCCCGGGGGAGGAGACAGGCUUACUAAAGCGCACAGAGCGACUGAGAACGUCUGAUCCCAGGCACCCCCGCUGCUCCUUCUUGGCACACCUCGGCUGUAUUUACACAGCGUGCACAGCCGCGCGGCUGUGUUUGUGUUUUCCCCGGUCCUGAGAAAAAGCCCACCAAGCUGCCAGAUGUGCGGAGCUCAAGGGAGCCUGAGGAAGUGUUUUGCCAGCGACGAGAAGCAGGCCUGGUCUGGGUGUAAUCGCUCCUUCGCAUCAGCCUCGCCUUUCCGCCCGCAGGAGAUAAGAAAUCGGAAUGGAGGAAACUGACAGGCAAGCACGCACCCUGCACCCUGAAAAUGGUUCCCUGUGCCCUC